AAACUGGGGUUAAUGCCCGAUGGGCGAGGAGGCCUGGAAUGGUUCUUCACCUAAAGGGCGUCGAGACCAUGCCUUUCGGCGUCGCCUAAGGAUGGGGCCGCGGCCGAUCAGGUUGUUGGUGAGGUAACGGCUCACCAAGCCUUUAACCGGUACGGGCCGUGAGAGCGGGAGCCCGGAGAUGGGCACUGAGACAAGGGCCCAGGCCCUACGGGGCGCAGCAGUCGCGAAAACUCCGCAAUGCGCGAAAGCGUGACGGGGCUACCCCGAGUGCCGUCCGCUGAGGAUGGCUUUUCCCCGGUGUAAUGAGCCGGGGGAAUAAGGAGAGGGCAAGUCUGGUGUCAGCCGCCGCGGUAAUACCAGCUCUCCGAGUGGUAGGGAUGAUUAUUGGGCUUAAAGCGUCCGUAGCCGGCUCGGCAAGUCUCCCGUUAAAUCCAGCGACCUAAUCGUUGGGCUGCGGGAGAUACUGUUGGGCUAGGAGGCGGGAGAGGCCGACGGUAUUCUCGGGGUAGGGGUGAAAUCCUAUAAUCCCGGGAGGACCACCAGUGGCGAAGGCUGUCGGCUAGAACGCGCUCGACGGUGAGGGACGAAAGCUGGGGGAGCGAACCGGAUUAGAUACCCGGGUAGUCCCAGCUGUAAACGAUGCGGGCUAGGUGUUGGGGUGGCUACGAGCCACUUCAGUGCCGCAGGGAAGCCAUUAAGCCCGCCGCCUGGGGAGUACGGCCGCAAGGCUGAAACUUAAAGGAAUUGGCGGGGGAGCACCACAAGGCGUGAAGCUUGCGGUUUAAUUGGAUCAACGCCGGG
rnacentral:rRNA from 1 species